UCAGUGAUAUCUGUUUAUCAUACAUACCACUCGUUAGAAUCCUUUUCGAAUUCUGAGUGGUUAUUUUUCACUCUUUCCUUGCAAAAGACCAACUUUGCUUUGACUGUUUACAAAACAAAUGUUUAGCCUUUAGCAUCAAAUGCUGCGUUCCUACUCGAACAUACUAAUUGCAUAACAAUACUACCCCAACAUCCGCGAAGUACUCCACUUCUAAACUCUAUCCUCAAGUCACCUUGAAGUUUAUUCUAUAGGCCUAGUUACAUGUGGUCCGAAAAAAUGUAUACCGACAAUAAAGUGUCUAUCCAGCGAGUGUACGGAUGCAGAUGGAGUGGAAACGGGUCGCCAUAACGUCCUUGUACUUUUGUACUUGCAGUCAAUGCGUACAGCGUCAGUAUAAGAACUUGGCAUUUCAGCAUGUAGGUAUUUAGGCGAAAUGGAAGAAGACGGUAAAAAAUGUCACGAAGAUGUAGUGAAGAUAGAAAAACUUCCAAAACAAUGUUCAUCUUUUGUUUAUGAUGGAGUUAUUUGUAGAGAAAACUAUAAUAUCGAGAUUCUCGACACAACUUUCGGAUUAGGUAAAAAACAAUUAUCA